AGCCCGACUUUAGCCGGCUCACCCAUGUGCAUCCCAUGGGUAGGUUCAUUAAUCAAUUAUUUCAUUAAAUAAUUUUUAGUAUUUAGUUUAGCCCCAGGUAACUUUUCAGUUGACUUUGGUCUUCUCUAUAAGCCUGGGUUAGGUCCAACCAUUAACAUGAUUAUACUUGUGAAUCUAACAAUCAAAUGAUUAGACCCGACUUUGGUCGGCUAACUUGACCAACUGUUAGAGAGACUCGACUAAGUCAUCAUAUUAUGAAUGAUAAUUCUAAUAGCAGAUCAGCACCAGGCCUUUGAGCCUCCAAUGAUCAUCAUACUAUUGGACCCACUAUCACCCAACUUAAUAGGAGGCUAUGAUUUAAUUAUCACCAUAACUAUCUCAUUUAAGAGAUCUAAUAAUUUAGAGAAUUUAAUUUUGAAUUAAGAAAAAAAAAGAGAAG
rnacentral:lncRNA from 1 species